CCCCGGCGCGGCGGGCGGCGCGGCCGGCGCCCCUCACCUGGAUGCGGGACUCGGGGAUCUGCGUGGCGUCGGCCAGUUUCUCCCGCAGGAGAGAAACUCCUUGUGCUUUUGUCUGUGCUGGGAGUGCCUCAGCACCAAGGAAUCUGUGCCAAGAGGACUCACGAUACAGAAUGUGCCUGUACCUGCAAUAAAACUGUUUUAAGCUUCAGCUGGAGAACACACUCUUACAUCACUGCUGCCAGCUCUGAGCAUCCAGCAAGCUUGUGUCUCGUGGUUAUUGAGAAAAAGAUCCAAAUGUGAAGCAAGUUUUGCUCCGAUGGUUCAAAACCAGAAGCCAAUACAUAGAACCAGAACUGUCCCAGCAUGGUCAGAUGCCUGUUACAAUGUGAACACAGACCCAUGAUCUUUCUCUGCAAUACCUUGGUGCUAUUAAAAGCCACCAAGUUUUCCCUCUCUGAGUGGUACAGCCUGGAGAAUCCUUCAUCUGGCUUCCCUGUGCUUCCCUGCUGCUUCUCAGGCAUGUGCCAAAGUCAGUGCUCUGGCUUCAGUCUAAUCAUUCAUUCUAAAUGUUUCCCACCCUCUUUUCUGAUACUGUUUUGGAGAUAGGGACUUUUAGUCUCAUGUAUCGUAACAUUUACAACAAAACCAUUUUGGUUUUGCUCUUGCAUUUUUUUCUGGGCUCUUUAAUUUCAAAGGUUUUCAAGCCUCUGUAAAGUCUGAAAGAUUUUCAGGUUUAACAUGUGGAUGGAAAGUGGGAAGUUUCACCUGAGCUGGGGUUUUGCAGCUGAUCAUUAAAUCAGCAGUACCACAUGACCAUAGCUGGGGAGUGCAGUGGUUACUAUGCCAU